CGAGAAGCGAGCGCGGAAUAAAGAACACUAGUAUUCUGACGGAAUAGGAAGUGGAAAAAUUAAAUAAUAGCAGAUUAUGUGCACGAUGCAGUGUGGGAACGCGAGGAAACACUUGCUGAACCUUGCAGUUGUGUUGUCAUGCAUGAUGAUGACUACAAUUAUUCUUGUUUGCAUGGAUUACAGCCUGAUGUACAACCCGUGUGUGAUGUUUCUUAUGGCUGCAGCGACAGUGGCUGUUCUCUACAUAAUGAUGUCAGUAACUGAGUACAAGAUGUUCAAACAAGAGCGAGCUUUGCAUUCUGCAUCAGAGCUGCUUCCUGAAGAAGGUUUCUCUCCUGCUAAGAAACAGCUAAUCUGACUUAGAAGUUUGAUAAUCCUCUUCGCUAAAAGAGAGCCUCAUCGGGAAGGUCCUUGCACUAGUGGCUGGAGGUCCUAGACAUCGGGUACUGGGUGUUCUGAAGAGAUCAUUCUGAUUUACUGUGAGCCUUAAAUUGCUUAAAACAUUUUAUUAUGGUCUGUUCUUGGGGUUCGUUAUUGUAUUGUGGUGUGCUCUAAAUGCCAGACACUUAAUAUCAAAUGUUUUCUGAUAUGUUUUAAAGUAAUCCCAAGAUAAUGAAACAAGCGUUUGAACAACGGCCCAUUCCCUAGUCCGCUCCGAAUCCCUUCAUGUAUUUCUGACGAAGAUACAGUCGAAACCGCGCGUGUGUGUGUGUGUAUGUGUGUGUGUGUAUUUGUGUGUGUGUGUGUGUGUGUGUGUGUGUGUGUGUGUGUGUGU